rnacentral:misc_RNA from 1 species
GGUGGUUGGAGGCUGGGAAGAAGUCUGUUUUCUAACAAUUAUGUUUCUAUUGUGAUUCUUUGAUUCUUUAUGGCUACUUUAAAAACUUUAUUCUCACUAUAGAUCAACAUUAAGGUGUUGAUUUUAUUCAAUCUUGGAUACAUUAUUUGGAACUUGUCUAGCCAACUAAUCAGUUGCAUGAUUUACAAUUUUAGAGAACCUGUUUGUUGAAUAGUUAGGAAUGAACUAACCUACUCUAUGUUGUUCCAGUCUUUGGAACUAACUUUAGAACAAGAAAAUUGUUAUUAUUAAUGUCUGGGUUUCUCUUGAGUAGGGUUUGAUCUGGCCUACUAUCCAAUUGACAACACUGAGUGCCAUUUUUUUUAUUUUUGGAUUCUUCAUAUUCUCACUUGUUAUGCAACAUGGCCUUUGUAAUUGCAGUUGGAGCAAAUUGUCAAAU